GACGAACGCUGGCGGCGUGCCUAAUACAUGCAAGUUGAGCGCUGAAGGUUGGUACUUGUACCAACUGGAUGAGCAGCGAACGGGUGAGUAACGCGUGGGGAAUCUGCCUUUGAGCGGGGGACAACAUUUGGAAACGAAUGCUAAUACCGCAUAAAAACUUUAAACACAAGUUUUAAGUUUGAAAGAUGCAAUUGCAUCACUCAAAGAUGAUCCCGCGUUGUUUUAGCUAGUUGGUGAGGUAAAGGCUCACCAAGGCGAUGAUACAUAGCCGACCUGAGAGGGUGAUCGGCCACAUUGGGACUGAGACACGGCCCAAACGCCUACGGGAGGCAGCAGUAGGGAAUCUUCGGCAAUGGAUGAAAGUCUGACCGAGCAACGCCGCGUGAGUGAAGAAGGUUUUCGGAUCGUAAAACUCUGUUGGUAGAGAAGAACGUUGGUGAGAGUGGAAAGCUCAUCAAGUGACGGUAACUACCCAGAAAGGGACGGCUAACUACGUG
rnacentral:rRNA from 1 species